UUUAGUCUAAUAAUAACGUUGAUUCUUUCUGUUCCUUGUCGCAUUUUUGUCUUUGCUGCAAUCGUUUAGGAAAGUUGUCGUACUCAAGAGGGACGAUUUAAGCACUUCGUGUUGGUUGCGCUGUUUUUUUAUUUGAUAAUCUUAAACGUUUGGUUAUUGGUUCUAAAUGAAUAAUAAUAUAAUUUCAAAGUUCCUUUGCAACACAUUCAGAAUAUCGAAGAUUUUCAUCUAUGCAUUACUGCCAUGUCUCUUGGUUCCAUGCGUUGAGGGAAGUUAUCGUACCACUGAGUUUACAGUGUAAGCCUUUGUUGUGGGUUGUGAUAGGCAUGUGUGAUAGGGCUCCUGUUACUGUCAUUUUUUUGUGCUUUCAACUAAAGCUGGAAGAUCAUGACAGACGAAACUGCUGCCAUUCAUGACAGCAAGCAUUCUCAAUAAAGCGACUGUUAUACAUGAAAUGGCAGGAUCCAGAGUGGAGAUAAUAACAAACCUGUGGUUGGGUUAGGAGGUGAGGUUGCAAGCCCUGCACACUUUUCCAUCCUUCGAGAUGACUGUUACACUGAACCACUGACCACCAGGUAGUGUUUUCUGAAGUGGAAAGGAACAAGUAGCCCUUUUUAUUUUUAUUCGAGCAGAUCAAGAAAGUUGCCCGUCUUGCUGAACAUUGCGUUGUGGCCACUC